AUUGAACGCUGGCGGCAGGCUUAACACAUGCAAGUCGAGCGGAGUGAUGGUGCUUGCACUAUCACUUAGCGGCGGACGGGUGAGUAAUGCUUAGGAAUCUGCCUAUUAGUGGGGGACAACAUCUCGAAAGGGAUGCUAAUACCGCAUACGUCCUACGGGAGAAAGCAGGGGAUCUUCGGACCUUGCGCUAAUAGAUGAGCCUAAGUCGGAUUAGCGAGUUGGUGGGGUAAAGGCCUACCAAGGCGACGAUCUGUGGCGGGUCUGAGAGGAUGAUCCGCCACACUGGGACUGAGACACGGCCCAGACUCCUACGGGAGGCAGCAGUGGGGAAUAUUGGACAAUGGGGGGAACCCUGAUCCAGCCAUGCCGCGUGUGUGAAGAAGGCCUUAUGAUUGUAAAGCACUUUAAGCGAGGAGGAGGCUACUUUAGUUAAUACCUAGAGAUAGUGGACGUUACUCGCAGAAUAAGCACCGGCUAACUCUGUGCCAGCCGCCGCCGUAA
rnacentral:rRNA from 1 species